UACGAAGGGGGCUAGCGUUGCUCGGAAUCACUGGGCGUAAAGCGCACGUAGGCGGCUUCUUAAGUCAGGGGUGAAAUCCUGGAGCUCAACUCCAGAACUGCCUUUGAUACUGAGAAGCUUGAGUCCGGGAGAGGUGAGUGGAACUGCGAGUGUAGAGGUGAAAUUCGUAGAUAUUCGCAAGAACACCAGUGGCGAAGGCGGCUCACUGGCCCGGAACUGACGCUGAGGCGCGAAAGCUAGGGGAGCAAACGGG
rnacentral:rRNA from 1 species